AUUGAACGCUGGCGGCAGGCCUAACACAUGCAAGUCGAGCGGAUGACGGGAGCUUGCUCCUUGAUUCAGCGGCGGACGGGAGAGUAAUGCCUAGGAAUCUGCCUGGUAGUGGGGGACAACGUUUCGAAAGGAACGCUAAUACCGCAUACGUCCUACGGGAGAAAGUAGGGGACCUUCGGGCCUUGCGCUAUCAGAUGAGCCUAGGUCGGAUUAGCUAGUAGGUGAGGUAAUGGCUCACCUAGGCGACGAUCCGUAACUGGUCUGAGAGGAUGAUCCGUCACACUGGGACGGUGCCACGUUCCAGACUCCCGCGGGAGGCAUCAGUCGUGACUAUUGUACAACGGGCGGAAGCCUGCUCGAGCCAUGCCGCGUGUGUGAAGUAGGUCUUCGGAUUGUAAAGCACUUUAAGUUCGGAGGGAGGGUGGUACGUUAAUACCGUGCAAUUCUGGCGUUACCGACAGAAUAAGCAGCGGCUAACUCUCUGCCAGCAGCCGCGGUAA
rnacentral:rRNA from 1 species